CCUACGGGAGGCAGCAGUGGGGAAUAUUGCACAAUGGGGGAAACCCUGAUGCAGCGACGCCGCGUGAGUGAAGAAGUAUUUCGGUACGUAAAGCUCUAUCAGCAGGGAAGAAAAUGACGGUACCUGACUAAGAAGCCCCGGCUAACUACGUGCCAGCAGCCGCGGUAAUACGUAGGGGGCAAGCGUUAUCCGGAUUUACUGGGUGUAAAGGGAGCGUAGACGGCAGCGCAAGUCUGGAGUGAAAUCCCAUGGCUUAACCAUGGAACUGCUUUGGAAACUGUGCAGCGAGAGUGCAGGAGAGGUAAGCGGAAUUCCUAGUGUAGCGGUGAAAUGCGUAGAGAUUAGGAGGAACACCAGUGGCGAAGGCGGCUUACUGGACUGUAACUGACGUUGAGGCUCGAAAGCGUGGGGAGCAAACAGGAUUAGAUACCCUUGUAGUC
rnacentral:rRNA from 1 species